rnacentral:tRNA from 1 species
GGUUAGGUGGCUGAGGUUUAGGCGGUAGAUUGUAAAUUUAUAGACGGAUAAAUGUUCCCCUAGCUA